rnacentral:rRNA from 1 species
CCUACGGGAGGCAGCAGUGGGGGAUAUUGCACAAUGGGGGAAACCCUGAUGCAGCGACGCCGCGUGUGGGACGACGGUCCUCUGGAUUGUAAACCACUGUCCCCAGGGCCGACGAUGACGGUACCUGGGGAGGACGCUCCGGCUAACUACGUGCCAGCAGCCGCGGUAAUACGUAGGGAGCGAGCGUUGUGCGGAAUUACUGGGUGUAAAGGGAGCGUAGGCGGGACUGCAAGUUGGGUGUCAAAUCUACGGGCUCAACCGGUAGCCGCACUCAAAACUGCAGUUCUUGAGUGAAGUAGAGGCAGGCGGAAUUCCUAGUGUAGCGGUGAAAUGCGUAGAUAUUAGGAGGAACACCAGUGGCGAAGGCGGCCUGCUGGGCUUUUACUGACGCUGAGGCUCGAAAGUGUGGGGAGCAAACAGGAUUAGAUACCCUGGUAGUC